rnacentral:rRNA from 1 species
AGUGAACGCUGGCGGCGUGCCUAAUACAUGCAAGUCGAACGCGAAAGUCCUUCGGGAUGAGUAAAGUGGCGCACGGGUGAGUAAUACAUGGGAACAUGCCCUUAGAUGGGGAAUAACGUUUGGAAACGAACGCUAAUACCGCAUAAUCUCGCGAGAGUAAAGGUGGCGCCGCAAGGGCUACCGUCUAAGGAUUGGCCCAUGUCCCAUUAGCUAGUUGGCGGGGUAAUGGCCCACCAAGGCAACGAUGGGUAUGUGGUCUGAGAGGAUGAUCACACACACUGGAACUGAGACACGGUCCAGACUCCUACGGGAGGCAGCAGUAGGGAAUAUUGCACAAUGGGGGAAACCCUGAUGCAGCAACGCCGCGUGAGUGAAGAAGGCCCUUGGGUUGUAAAGCUCUUUAGCGAGGGAAGAAGGUAGAUACGGUGAAUAAUCGUGUUUGCUGACGGUACCUCGAGAAUAAGCACCGGCUAAUUUCGUGCCAGCAGCCGCUGUAAUAC